rnacentral:rRNA from 1 species
AAUAGAUACCCCGGUAGUCCCAGCCGUAAACGAUGCUCGCUAGGUGUCAGGCAUGGCGCGACCGUGUCUGGUGCCGCAGGGAAGCCGUGAAGCGAGCCACCUGGGAAGUACGGCCGCAAGGCUGAAACUUAAAGGAAUUGGCGGGGGAGCACAACAACGGGUGGAGCCUGCGGUUUAAUUGGACUCAACGCCGGACAACUCACCGGGGACGACAGCAAUAUGUAGGCCAGGCUAAAGACCUUGCCUGAAUCGCUGAGAGGAGGUGCAUGGCCGUCGCCAGUUCGUACUGUGAAGCAUCCUGUUAAGUCAGGCAACGAGCGAGACCCGUGCCCACUGUUACCAGCAUGUCCUCCGGGACGAUGGGUACUCUGUGGGGACCGCCGAUGUUAAAUCGGAGGAAGGUGCGGGCUACGGUAGGUCAGUAUGCCCCGAAUUUCCCGGGCUACACGCGGGCUACAAUGAAUGGGACAAUGGGUCCCUACCCCGAGAGGGGUUGGUAAUCUCCCAAACCCAUCCGUAGUUCGGAUCGAGGGCUGUAACUCGCCCU